ACGAACGCUGGCGGCGUGCUUAACACAUGCAAGUCGAACGGAAAGGCCCUGCUUGCAGGGUGCUCGAGUGGCGAACGGGUGAGUAACACGUGGGUGAUCUGCCCCUUACUUUGGGAUAAGCCUGGGAAACUGGGUCUAAUACUGGAUAGGACCAUGCUGUAGGUGGUGUGGUGGAAAGAUUAGUUUCGGUAAGGGAUGAGCUCGCGGCCUAUCAGCUUGUUGGUGGGGUAAUGGCCUACCAAGGCGUCGACGGGUAGCCGGCCUGAGAGGGUGGACGGCCACAUUGGGACUGAGAUACGGCCCAGACUCCUACGGGAGGCAGCAGUGGGGAAUAUUGCACAAUGGGCGCAAGCCUGAUGCAGCGACGCCGCGUGGGGGAUGACGGCCUUCGGGUUGUAAACUCCUUUCAGCCAUGACGAAGCCCUUGUGGUGACGGUAGUGGCAGAAGAAGCACCGGCUAACUACGUG
rnacentral:rRNA from 1 species